rfam:Mus musculus chromosome 12, GRC primary reference assembly.
AGCCCUUGGCAAUGGGCAAAGAGACACCUUGUUGAUGCUGGUGUUCUUAGUCAGGGGCAGAGUAGAUGGCAGUCCUUUGUUCAUCCUAGCCUGAUGCCUGGCUUGGAGGCCAAAGCUGUCUUACGCCUAGGACAUAUAA